rnacentral:lncRNA from 1 species
GGGUCGCUCGUCCAUGCAUCACGUUUUUGCGAGGGGCAGUCUUGUGCGGGAGGCGUUCCUAGGGGCGCUGCACUCGACCCGUUCGGGGUCCACUGUAACAAUCGCAUUCUUCUUAAAAAGCAAACUGAGCACCAACUAAAGAACGCACGCUACGCGUUUGUAGGCCUAAGCCUGCCCAUCGUCAAUAAUAAUUUUGAUCACCUAUUAUACGAGAGCGUCGCCUAUAGGUGAUUAAAACAUUACGGCAAUAAGGCGUUUGGGGGAGAGCUGAGAGCAAGGGAGUCGUUUCGACCAAAUGGUCGGGCGGGUUCUGGCGCAGCAUGUAAUGAUGAACAUGCAUUCCAUAUGGAUUUCGUACAGACUUGCUGUGGUAGAGCAUAUGUACAAGUGAUGAAAUAAUAGAUGGCAAAAACAUUUUCACUUACAUAACAUGUUCAUUUUGGUUUAGACAAAGACAAAGAGGUCUUACAGCAGCAAACGCCCGGGCGAACCAACCGACCAGCAGAUGCACUAUUACUCGCCUCCCCAUGCCUGAAUGAAUUACUGCACGUUUAUUAACAAUUCAGUACUCUUAUAGCACUCCAUAACGUAUAUCCGACUAAAACGACGAAGAAGAUUAUAUAUGGAAAAAGUUCUGAAAACGGAGCAUUACACGCAGCUUGCUCCCGAAGUUAUUGAUAAAGCAUGGCCACCGACCAUACACGUGGCCUAAACAAAUCCUGAAAGAUUUGUCCCGCCCUAUAACUCGACUCAUUUACAGCGAGCUCGGAGCGAUCUUUCUUCCUCUUGCAGCUGCUUGUCAGCGCGCACAUAAAUGCGUGCCAUAAUAGAGCAGCAACUGGCUGGGAGAUUCUUCGGGUAUACACUAGCAAUAUGCCACAGAAGACAUAUAUAUAUGUGUGUCUGUGUAUAGCUAAAUUUAAUACUUAAAACUCGACUCAAUACCCGACACACAUUUGACAAUUGAUAUAUCGUGUUUUAAGUAUUAAAUUAAGCUGUACAUUAUGUCAUGGCUUGGAGCGUAAAAGGCAUGCGCUAUCCCGCUGCUGCUAGCUGAGCUGUAUGUGUGUCCGUCGGCUCCAUCCGCUGCAUCCGUUGCAUGACCGGCUGUCCAGGAUAUCUAGUUAUUCCGUGUCGUUGCUAGCCGUGGGGUCUUAGGGGAUCUCAGACGGGGUGGUGGUGGUGGCCUCGUUGCCCGUGUACCUGCAUUGGAACGUGGACAUAUACAGCACAUAGAGUGUUGCCAAGUUGUCAAUUCACAUCCUUGCGUUAAUUAAGCCCCAGUAGCCUUCUGUACAUUUUCAUGGUUUGUUUAUACGACUGAGCCAUGUUAUAAUUGAUAUUGCCUUCAAGAUAACAGGUUCAUUACGGUUUAGACAAAGACAACAACCUAUACACCAUAGCUGUAGUCCAUAGAUUACGCUAUGCUACCAUGGAUAGGCCUGAAAAUGGAUAGUCCUUAUACACUCCCCAACUUGUAGGCCUCAUCCAAUGCUGUGGAUGGUGGUAGGCACUGCGGAGCCCUACAAUUAGGUGCGGCUGCAUUCAUCCCUAUCCCGUCACUGCAUACAUGGCAAUGCACAAACAUGCAUGAUAAAUUUAAACCGUCCAAUUGGCCAAUCAGCAGGCUACAGCGAUGAAAACAUGCACGUAUGUAUGGUGCAUACUUACCGGCACAGUAGGUGGCAUUCAGUGUUCUGUCGCAAAGCUGGAAAGGGCUCUCCAAGAAGGUUGGGCAGGACGGUGUCACGACGCAACUGCGGCACAAAAUCAAGGUGUAAUAAAAAGAGAGCCUUAUGACUUUCUGGGAUGGGCUCUGGGUGAAUUUGUGGUGUACACGGAGGAUUAUGGUUCUAUCUGGC